rnacentral:lncRNA from 1 species
GAGGUGCACACACUGCAUCGCUUUUAAAAACUACCCGGCUCUGAGUCUCAUUGCUGCCAGGCUGAUCACCCCACUGGCCCUUUCUUUCCAAAAAUUAUAAUUGUGGAGAAACCACAAAGAAAAUUCCAGAGGCUAUCAAAUAGUGGUCGAAGAUGUUUGUUUUUUGAAUAAUCUUACGAGUACACGCGAAACGAGUUACCUCGAAGCAAUCAGCACUCCUGGGAGUCAAACACUCCUCACCUACUUUGAAAUUGAUUGGUGUGGGUUUAUCUCCCGGAUUUUAAUAACACCCUCCACCUACGCUAGUCAUUUACACAAGUGGGGACGCAGCAGGCGCACUCCCUCCUCCGGACCUAGCAGGACCGUCCUUCGCUGGCCAGGUCCGGGCGGUCGCCUCCGGAAUGCGAGGGGCGGGCUCUGCCGCCACCUCCCAACGCCACCUGCCCAGAAGAAGAAAAAAAGAACCCCCCUCAAGCUACAGUCACGAGAAAGGAUUGGAGCGGAGAAAGAACAGACAUGAGAAGACCAGCCUUUGCUGCAGACCAGGUAAGAGAGAAGAUAAAGUCUUGAGCUAAGGUGGUAACAGUAUUUGAGGGAAGUGGAAAGAUACUAGC